rnacentral:ncRNA from 1 species
AAAUAGACGUUGAAGAGGAAUAGUAACUGUGUAAGCGUUUCAGAGAGAAAGCCAGUGGUGGAAGGCUUUUACGACCAAACAGCGAACCUGCCUUGGAGUUCUGUGUGAACGUAUUUGUGAUAAUCCAUUGACAAGCAUAAGCACAGCGUUUCCCGCGUUAAGGGGUAGUUGAGAGAAGUCCGGGAGCUUUUUAUCCGGAUUUAAAAAGGGUGGUACCGCCGAUGAACUUCGGUCCCUGAU